rnacentral:rRNA from 1 species
CAUGCUGUGAGCUCGAUGAGUAGGGCGGGACACGUGGUAUCCUGUCUGAAUAUGGGGGGACCAUCCUCCAAGGCUAAAUACUCCUGACUGACCGAUAGUGAACCAGUACCGUGAGGGAAAGGCGAAAAGAACCCCGGCGAGGGGAGUGAAAAAGAACCUGAAACCGUGUACGUACAAGCAGUGGGAGCACGCUUAGGCGUGUGACUGCGUACCUUUUGUAUAAUGGGUCAGCGACUUAUAUUCUGUAGCAAGGUUAACCGAAUAGGGGAGCCGAAGGGAAACCGAGUCUUAACUGGGCGUUAAGUUGCAGGGUAUAGACCCGAAACCCGGUGAUCUAGCCAUGGGCAGGUUGAAGGUUGGGUAACACUAACUGGAGGACCGAACCGACUAAUGUUGAAAAAUUAGCGGAUGACUUGUGGCUGGGGGUGAAAGGCCAAUCAAACCGGGAGAUAGCUGGUUCUCCCCGAAAGCUAUUUAGGUAGCGCCUCGUGAAUUCAUCUCCGGGGGUAGAGCACUGUUUCGGCAAGGGGGUCAUCCCGACUUACCAACCCGAUGCAAACUGCGAAUACCGGAGAAUGUUAUCACGGGAGACACACGGCGGGUGCUAACGUCCGUCGUGAAGAGGGAAACAACCCAGACCGCCAGCUAAGGUCCCAAAGUCAUGGUUAAGUGGGAAACGAUGUGGGAAGGCCCAGACAGCCAGGAUGUUGGCUUAGAAGCAGCCAUCAUUUAAAGAAAGCGUA